UGAGUACGAGAUGCUACGGCAUCGAAGCAGUCUAUGUCAUACUUCCAAGAAAAGCUUGCACUGUCAUAAACAAAGAAUGCCUGUACCAUAACCGACACAGGUGGGUAGGUAGAGUAUACUAAGGGGCGCGAGAUAACUCUCUCUAAGGAACUCGGCAAAAUGACUCCGUAACUUCGGGAGAAGGAGUGCCUUAUUUCUAAGGUUGCAAUAACAAGAUCCAAGCAACUGUUUACCAAAAACACAGGUCUCCGCUAAGUCGUAAGACGAUGUAUGGGGGCUGACGCCUGCCCAGUGCCAGAAGGUUAAAGAAGUUGGUUAGCAUUAGCGAAGCUGAUAACUGAAGCCCUGGUGAACGGCGGCCGUAACAAUAACGGUCCUAAGGUAGCGAAAUUCCUUGUCGGGUAAGUUCCGACCCGCACGAAAGGCGUAAUGAUUUGGAUACUGUCUCGGAGAGGGGCUCGGUGAAAUAGACUUGUCUGUGAAGAUGCGGACUACCUGCACCUGGACAGAAAGACCCUAUGAAGCUUUACUGUAACUUGAGAUUGAAAUUGGACUUUAUUUGCGCAGUAUAGGUGGGAGGCGUUGAGAAUAAUCUUGCGGGAUUGUUGGAGCCAUCAGUGAGAUACCACUCUUGUAAUGUUAGAUUUCUAACUUUGUAUCAUUAUCUGGUCAAAGAACAGUUUCAGGCGGGCAGUUUGACUGGGGCGGUCGCCUCCCAAAGGGUAACGGAGGCGCACAAAGGUUUCCUCUGAACGGGUAGAAAUCGUAUCUAGAGUGUAAAGGCAUAAGGAAGCUUGACUGUGAGACCUACAAGUCGAGCAGGGACGAAAGUCGGUCUUAGUGAUCUGACGGUGCUGAGUGGAAAGGCCGUCACUCAACGGAUAAAAGUUACUCUAAGGAUAACAGGCUGAUCUCCCCCAAGAGUUCACAUCGACGGGGAGGUUUGGCACCUCGAUGUCGGCUCAUCGCAUCCUGGGGCGGUAGUCCGUCCCAAGGGUUGGGCUGUUCGCCCAUGAAAGCGGUACGCGAGCUGGGUUCAGAACGUCGUGAGACAGUUCGGUCCAUAUCCGGUGUAGGCGUUAGAAUAUUGAGAGGAGCCUUCUCUAGUACGAGAGGACCGAGAAGGACAUACCUCUGGUGUACCAGUUAUCGUGCCAACGGUAAACGCUGGGUAGCUAUGUAUGGAGUGGAUAACCGCUGAAAGCAUCUAAGUGGGAAGCCCACCUCAAGAUAAGUAUUCUCAU
rnacentral:rRNA from 1 species